UACGGGGGGCAGCAGUAGGGAAUCUUCCACAAUGGACGGAAGUCUGAUGGAGCAACGCCGCGUGAGCGAAGAAGGUCUUCGGAUCGUAAAGCUCUGUUGUAAGGGAAGAAUAAGUACAGUAGUAACUGGCUGUACCUUGACGGUACCUUACGAGAAAGCCACGGCUAACUACGUGCCAGCAGCCACGGUAAUACGUAGGUGGCAAGCGUUGUCCGGAAUUAUUGGGCGUAAAGCGCGCGCAGGCGGCCUUUUAAGUCUGAUGUGAAAGCCCCCGGCUUAACCGGGGAGGGUCAUUGGAAACUGGGAGGCUUGAGUGCAGAAGAGGAAAGUGGAAUUCCAAGUGUAGCGGUGAAAUGCGUAGAGAUUUGGAGGAACACCAGUGGCGAAGGCGACUUUCUGGUCUGUUACUGACGCUGAGGCGCGAAAGCGUGGGGAGCAAACAGGAUUAGAUACCCUGGUAGUCCACGCCGUAAACGAUGAGUGCUAAGUGUUAGGGGGUUUCCGCCCCUUAGUGCUGCAGUUAACGCAUUAAGCACUCCGCCUGGGGAGUACGGUCGCAAGACUGAAACUCAAAGGAAUUGACGGGGGCCCGCACAAGCGGUGGAGCAUGUGGUUUAACUCGAAGCAACGCGAAGAACCUUACCAGGUCUUGACAUCCCGCUGACCGCCAUGGAGACAUGGCCUUCCCUUCGGGGACAGCGGUGACAGGUGGUGCAUGGUUGUCGUCAGCUCGUGUCGUGAGAUGUUGGGUUAAGUCCCGCAACGAGCGCAACCCUUGUCCUUAGUUGCCAUCAUUCAGUUGGGCACUCUAAGGAGACUGCUGUAAUAAAA
rnacentral:rRNA from 1 species